GGGUCCUUAGCUCAAUCGGUCAGAGCCGCGGACUCAUAAUCUGCUGGUUGCGGGUUCGAGUCCCGCAGGACCCA
rnacentral:tRNA from 2 species